GACAGAGGGUGCAAACGUUGUUCGGAAUUACUGGGCGUAAAGCGCGUGUAGGCGGCCGUGCAAGUCGGAUGUGAAAGCCCUGGGCUCAACCUAGGAAGUGCACUCGAAACUGCAUGGCUGGAGUUCUGGAGAGGAAGGCGGAAUUCUCGGUGUAGAGGUGAAAUUCGUAGAUAUCGAGAGGAACACCGGUGGCGAAGGCGGCCUUCUGGACAGUGACUGACGCUGAGACGCGAAAGCGUGGGUAGCAAACAGG
rnacentral:rRNA from 1 species